CCCUUAGAUGUUCUGGGCCGCACGCGCGCUACACUGACGAAGUCAGCGAGCAUGUCCUACGCCGACAGGUGCGGGGAAUCUUGUCAAACUUCGUCGUGAUGGGGAUUGAUUGUUGAAAUUCUUGAUCAUCAACGAGGAAUUCCUAGUAAGCGCAAGUCAGCAGCUUGCGUUGAUUACGUCCCUGCCCUUUGUACACACCGCCCGUCGCUACUACCGAUUGAAUGGUUUAGUGAGAUCUUCGGAUUGGCGCCACUGCGGCUCAGCAAUGGGCUCGGUGGAUGCCGAAAAGUUGAUCAAACUUGAUCAUUUAGAGGAAGUAAAAGUCGUAACA
rnacentral:rRNA from 1 species